AAGCCUCCAUCGGGACUGAUGAAUUUUAUUUUAACCUGGGAAGGAGAUUAUGAAGAAUGUCUUCGUAUUACAGCCGAAACGUUUAAAGGAAAAUACUGUCUAGGUUCUUUUUGGAUAACAGGAAUUCCAAAUCCGGUAACACAAGCGGAUGGAGUUUCAAUUAAAAUUGGAAUGUGUAUACCUGAUACUUGUACGAAAGAAGAAGAACUUGUAAUGUUAAGUGCAGUCGUCCCUAAAUUGACCAACAACCGAAUAUAUGCUUAUGAUUUAACUUGCCAGGAACCAGGUCGUAAACUUGAUACCAGAGCU